rnacentral:lncRNA from 1 species
ACAAAGUUAGAUUAAGCCGUUGUCGGGAUAGAGAGGUUUUGCCUCAAGAAAGCGUUGGACUUCUGGUUGUCACUAAUUGCUCAAUCAAGCUUAAAAUAAGGAAACCCUAAUUUUAUAUAUAUAAUUUCUCCUUUUGGGAUAAUUACACCAAAUACUUAAGUCUUAAAUAACCAAUAACAUCCAAAAUAUGGUAGAAGUACUCUAAAACCUUGUAUAUCCUUGUGUGGAAAUUCUCCCGAACCUCAACACCUCAUAACUCUUGAUCCAACCGUCCAAACAAGAUCAAAAUUUACAUGAAGUACUGAUUUGUUGUUAUUAAUUUGUACAACAAAUUUCAACCGCAAAUUCGUCGCGGAUCUUGAGAUAUCUUUAAACCCCUAACAGCCGCUUCAAACCCUAAUCUUUAUAUACCUGCACGCUAUUUUCUUCAUAUCUCACAAAUCAUAAGUCCAAAUGCCACGAAACUUAUAUAGAUAGCUUUUUAACAAAAAUUUUAACAUUCUCACAAAGUUUGAGCCAAAAUUUCAUUCGAAAACUCAAGUUAUGGCUCCUAACACUACUUUGAACAAAACCACUCACUUACUGCCUUUGAUUUGAAUGCGUUGUCUUUAACUCCCUAUAACUCCUUCACAUAAACUCCAAAUGCAAAAUUUCCUUCGCAAAAGAUGUAUGUCUUAAAGUUGCCCUUCCAGCCGCACCUUCCGAUCUCCAAAAGCUUCCAUAAGACUCCUCUUAAACUCAAAAGAGUAUCAGUAGGUCUCAAAUUGACACCUUAACUUCAAACGGCUAUAACUUAUUCACCCUAACUCCAAACCCUAUAAAAUUUGCACAAAAAUUGUAGCCAAAACCGUAAACUUUACAAUUCUUGCAUCUGAUUUCCUAAUGGCC